UAAUUCUCAAUGUUGAUGUUUCAUUUUUUUCCUUCUCUUUUUAAUUGUUGAUUUAAUUGUUUGCUUUUUUCUUUUUCAUUGAAAACAUUGUUGAUUUUCUGCUUAAUUGUGAGGUUAAUUUCUAAAUUCCUGAUUAAUUAUGAUUCUUCUUGAUGUUCUCAAUCUGAUUCGCUCUUUUUGCUCAGGUUUACACUGUGUCUUUGGUUGUUCGAUUUGUGUUACUUGUUAAUUGAAUCAACAGAUUAUUAUAUUUACUUUGGAAUAGAUAAUCGUUUGGAAAUCUUAUUGAUUUGAUUUCUUUCCUAUGAAUUGACCAUUUCCAAGAUUAUUCUUUUAUCUGGACAUUUUUACCAUGGAAAUUGUUGAAUCUCUAUUGACCAAUGAUGGAUAAUUGUGUUACUUAACUCAAUUGGUGUUUGUCGUGUUCAUCUUUAGAUUACAAGUUCUCAUUAUCUACUUUCAUAGAGAACUUGAUGAUCUUAUCAUCAUGAUGGCCGAUAUUAAGUUUUCGAGGUUAAAAGAGAAGGAGGAGAAUCAGGAGGAGGAAGAGAAAAUAUCGUAAUUUGAAAAAAUGAUUGACUUACAUGGUGUAAACUUGGAAUUGAAGAGAACGAUUUAAUGAUUUAUUCAUGAGGACCAAACAAUUUCUCUCAACAAUUUUCGCUUAAACCAUUUUCCAUUCCUGAUUUAGCUAAUUCGGAUCAAGAAGAAGAACAAGAAAAAGAGAUGAAGAAAAAAGUUCUCCAACCCUAAAGACUGGACACUAGUGACCCAUUGGUUUUGAUCGAUUGGAUUUACAUCCAGAGUUAAUGAUCUCACAGAAAAGUGUAACAAUAAUGGCGAUGAUCCUCAAAUCCUAUUAAUCAUUUUCAUUUUUGAUGAUCUUUUUUUUCCUCUUUCUAUUUAUUUAGGUUACUCAUUAAUUUGACCCAUUGUCAAUUCGUUAAUUGUAAGUAAUAUGAGAUGGAAAUGAUUUGAUAAUCCAAAGAAACAGGGAAAUGUCAUUCAGCUCAUUGAGAAAUAGACCAACAUGAAAAUAAAAUCGUAAUUGCGUUUGUUUCAUGUAUUUAUGUUCAUGUUAAUCCAAUUACCAUUGGAUGAUUUUUUCUUUAAUUUCUAUUUAUAUCAGUGUCAUGUUUUAUUUACAUGGGGAUUUGUCCAUUAUCAGCAAUGAACAUUUUAUUAAUCAACAACAGUUUCUCUGUGGAAAUGGUUGAUUUUUUUUUCUUCAAUUUCUCAUCAACCACGAAUAGGAAUUCAAUUCAAUAUUCUCACCUGAAUUUACCUGAUGUAAUCUACUUUAAUCUAAUUGCUGCUCUAUCAUCAGUUGAUUCCUCAGUGGAGUUGACAUGAUUACUUUUAAUUAUUUGCAACAAGCAACAAUCAAAAAAUCUUCACUCACUCUAAACAGGAUUAAUCAAAAUCUCUCAUUUAACUGAAAUUUAAUACAAUCAAGGGAGGAUGCAAAAUCAAUCCAAUCGGUUGGGAUAAGUGUCUAAAUAUCAGGUAAGAGAUUAGUACAAAAAAAACGAGGGAAAAUUACAAAAAAAAAGGGAAAGGAAAAGUAUUGAAAUUAGAGAGGGAAAUGAUUAAAUUAUAAUUAAUUGCAUAGAAAAUUGUAAAGCAAAAAAAAGUGUCAAGUCGAAGUGUUUUGAUGGUGAAAAAUGAGUUGA